CCUACGGGCGGCAGCAGUGAGGAAUAUUGGUCAAUGGACGAGAGUCUGAACCAGCCAAGUAGCGUGAAGGAUGACUGCCCUAUGGGUUGUAAACUUCUUUUAUAUGGGAAUAAAAUGUUCCACGUGUGCCUUUUUGUAUGUACUUUAUGAAUAAGGAUCGGCUAACUCCGUGCCAGCAGCCGCGGUAAUACGGAGGAUCUGAGCGUUAUCCGGAUUUAUUGGGUUUAAAGGGAGCGUAGAUGGGUUGUUAAGUCAGUUGUGAAAGUUUGCGGCUCAACCGUAAAAUUGCAAUUGAUACUGGCAGUCUUGAGUACAGUUGAGGUAGGCGGAAUUCGUGGUGUAGCGGUGAAAUGCUUAGAUAUCACGAAGAACUCCGAUUGCGAAGGCAGCUUACUAAACUGCCACUGACAUUGAUGCUCGAAAGUGUGGGUAUCAAACAGGAUUAGAUACCCCUGUAGUC
rnacentral:rRNA from 1 species